GGAAGGGUGGCGGAGCGGUUGAACGCACCGGUCUUGAAAACCGGCAUCCCCGCAAGGGGAUCGUGGGUUCGAAUCCCACCCCUUCCGCCA
rnacentral:tRNA from 1 species